rnacentral:rRNA from 1 species
AGUGAACGCUGGCGGUAGGCCUAACACAUGCAAGUCGAACGGCAGCACAGUAAGAGCUUGCUCUUACGGGUGGCGAGUGGCGGACGGGUGAGGAAUACAUCGGAAUCUACUUUUUCGUGGGGGAUAACGUAGGGAAACUUACGCUAAUACCGCAUACGACCUACGGGUGAAAGCAGGGGAUCUUCGGACCUUGCGCGAUUGAAUGAGCCGAUGUCGGAUUAGCUAGUUGACGGGGUAAAGGCCCACCAAGUCGACGAUCCGUAGCUGGUCUGAGAGGAUGAUCAGCCACACUGGAACUGAGACACGGUCCAGACUCCUACGGGAGGCAGCAGUGGGGAAUAUUGGACAAUGGGCGCAAGCCUGAUCCAGCCAUACCGCGUGGGUGAAGAAGGCCUUCGGGUUGUAAAGCCCUUUUGUUGGGAAAGAAAAGCAGCAGGUUAAUACCACGCUGUUCUGACGGUACCCAAAGAAUAAGCACCGGCUAACUUCGUG